rnacentral:misc_RNA from 1 species
GAUGAAGAACGUAGCAAAAUGCGAUACUUGGUGUGAAUUGCAGAAUCCCGUGAACCAUCGAGUUUUUGAACGCAAGUUGCGCCCGAAGCCUUUUGGCCGAGGGCACGUCUGCCUGGGCGUCACGCAUCGCGUCGCCCCCCACAAUUCUCCGUAAAGGGAACGUGUGUUUUGGGGGCGGAUAUUGGUCUCCCGUGCUCAUGGCGUGGUUGGCCGAAAUAGAAGUCCUUUCGAUGGACGCACGAACUAGUGGUGGUCGUAAAAACCCUCGUCUUUUGUUUCGUGCUGUUGCUCGCAAGGUAAACUCUUUAAAAACCCCAAUGUGUCGUCUCUUGACGACGCUUCGACCGCGACCCCAGGUCAGGCGGGACUACCCGCUGAGUUUAAGCAUAUCAAUAAGCGGAGGA